rnacentral:rRNA from 1 species
GACGAACGCUGGCGGCGUGCUUAACACAUGCAAGUCGAACGGACAGGCCCUGCUUUUGUGGGGUGCUCGUGUGGCGAGCGGGUGAGUAACACGUGAGUAACCUGCCCUUGACUUUGGGAGAACUUCAGGAAACUGGGGCUAAUACCGGAUAGGAGCUCCUGCUGCAUGGUGGGGGUUGGAAAGUUUCGGCGGUAGGGGAUGGACUCGCGGCUUAUCAGCUUGUUGGUGGGGUAGUUGCUGACCAAGGCUUUGACGGGUAGCCGGCCUGAGAGGGUGGCCGGCGACAUUGGGACUGCGAUACGGCCCAGACUCCUACGGGCGGCAGCAGUGGGGAGCAUUGCGCAACGGGCGGAAGCCUGAUGCAGCAACGCCGCGUGCGGGAUGACGGCCUUCGGGUUGUAAACCGCUUUCGCCUGUGACGAAGCGUGAGUGACGGUACUGGGUAAAGAAGCACCGGCUAACUACGUG